AUGUGGUAACCAAGUCGGUAUACCGUUUUGGAAAAGGGCUGCUAAGGACGAAAAUGUUAAAAAUGGGCGAACAUUUCUUCAUGAAGAUGGAACUCAGAGGUCUCUUCACAUUGAUAGUGAACCAAAGGUUAUCGCCAAGAUAAACAAGACAAAUACUGUUAGGAAGAAGAAUUUGGUGUUUGGCAGAAGAGGCAGGGGAACAAACUGGGCUUUAGGAUAUAAUGGGCUGUUGAAGAAGGGAGAGGACCACAUUGUAGAAGAUACCAUGGAAAUGUUGCGGAAAGAAAUCGAAGGCUGAAGAAGGAGAGAAGAAAGAAGAAGAGAAGAAGGAGGAGGAAAAGAAGGAAGAAACACCAGCUGAACAAGGUUGAAUGGUUGAAAUAUAUUUAGGACAGAUUAUAAGAUUAUGUGAAAUGAAAAUGAUUCCAACAAAGACAAUUUUCAAUGUGACCGAAAACCAAGAUAUUGUGAGAGUACAAUGGAUAAAAAAAUACUGUGACCUUUUGCCAUUGUUGAUAUAUGUGCACAAGUGCUUAUACCGUUUUUUUCUCCGUCCAGAAAGCCUUCAGUUUGUGAUUAAAAACAUUAUAUUAACCUUAUCAUUAUAUCAACCUCAUCGGUCUCGAAAUAUUGUUUGAAAUAUGAAAGUCUCGGCUAACGCCUCGGCUUUUAUAUUUCAAAACAACAUUUCUCGACCUCGGAGGUUAUUCUGCAACAUUCGCAAAAACUCGUACUUUAUUUCUUAAAUAUAAAACUUCCAAUCAAACAAGAACCUGAUUAAUCAAUUGUGACUUGACCUUCAAGACGAGGGCUUGAUGGUCGUGGCCAUUUUUAUUUAGACUAAAUUAAUGUUUUAAGAAAGAGCUUUGAAUAUAGAUAUAGGAAAAUAUCGAAAUUUUUAAACGAAUAUAACU